rnacentral:rRNA from 1 species
CAGUAGCCACGGUAACACCAGCACCUCGAGUGGUCAGGAGGUUUAUUGGGCCUAAAGCAUCCGUAGCCGGUUGCAUAAGUUUUCGGUUAAAUCUAUGCGCUUAACGUAUAGGCCGCCGAAAAUACUGUGCAGCUAGGGAGUGGGAGAGGUACACGGUACUCGAUAGGAAGGGGUAAAAUCCUUUGAUCUAUUGAUGACCACCUGUGGCGAAGGCGGUGUACCAGAACACGUUCGACGGUGAGGGAUGAAAGCUGGGGGAGCAAACCGGAUUAGAUACCCCCGUAGUCCCUGUCUCUUAUAC